GCCAGCAGCCAUAUCACCCUGCAACUGGCAACCUACUGAAGCUAAGUGGGUGUGAGCCUGGUCAGUACCUGGAUGGGAGACCUCCUGGGAAAAACUAUGGUUGCUGCUGGAA
rnacentral:rRNA from 1 species